GUUCAGCUUAUAUGCCACUGAUGGUGCACAUGGAGCCCAUAUUUUGAGUUUGGAUUCUUUUUGGCCAGCAGUGUUUGGGGACGGCGUGUGGCUGUCGUCCUAUCACUCUGUGUCCUUGUGCCUCUGUGAGUGAGGGUGCAGAGGCAGGCCAACCCCAACUGCCAUAUUGUGACAACACAAAUAAUUACAGUUACUGUAAGGCCAAAUAGCUUUCUUCAAGUCCCUGUCCCUAUGUGCACCUCUACCUCAAUAUAAGCUGUCCUCAGGAGCCAAAAAUCUACAUGAUUAUAGGUGACACCGCAUUAUAUUGAAACUUGCUGUGCAUCUGCCAGAGUGCACAUUCGUCACCCCUCCCCCCCCCGAGUGCUGCUUUACGUGCGUUAUAUCUGAAUUUGUAGAUCGGGUUCACGUUACAUGGGGGUAGAGGCGUGUAUCCACUGCGUGGUUCACAAGCCGUUGACUAGAGCCACAGGAGGCGAAUAGUGAUAGGAGUCUGCCUAAACAAUGGAACAGGAGGCAUCGAUCUUGACCCAAGUAGCAUCAGA